rnacentral:rRNA from 1 species
CCCUUCGGGGCUCUUUGGUGAUUCAUGAUAACUUAACGAAUCGCAUGGCCUUGCGCCGGCGAUGGUUCAUUCAAAUUUCUGCCCUAUUAACUUUCGAUGGUAGGAUAGAGGCCUACCAUGGUAUCAAUGGGUAACGGGGAAUUAGGGUUCUAUUCCGGAGAGGGAGCCUGAGAAACGGCUACCACAUCCAAGGAAGGCAGCAGGCGCGCAAAUUACCCAAUCCCGACACGGGGAGGUAGUGACAAUAAAUACUGAUACAGGGCUCUUUUGGGUCUUGUAAUUGGAAUGAGUACAAUUUAAAUACCUUAACGAGGAACAAUUGGAGGGCAAGUCUGGUGCCAGCAGCCGCGGUAAUUCCAGCUCCAAUAGCGUAUAUUAAAGUUGUUGCAGUUAAAAAGCUCGUAGUUGAACCUUGGGCCUGGCUGGCCGGUCCGCCUCACCGCGUGUACUGGUCCGGCCGGGCCUUUCCUUCUGGGGAUCCGCAUGGCCUUCACUGGCUGUGUCGGGGAACCAGGACUUUUACUUUGAAAAAAUUAGAGUGUUCAAAGCAGGCCUUUGCUCGAAUACAUUAGCAUGGAAUAAUAGAAUAGGACGUGCGGUCCUAUUUUGUUGGUUUCUAGGACCGCCGUAAUGAUUAAUAGGGAUAGUCGGGGGCAUCAGUAUUCAAUUGUCAGAGGUGAAAUUCUUGGAUUUAUUGAAGACUAACUACUGCGAAAGCAUUUGCCAAGGAUGUUUUCAUUAAUCAGUGAACGAAAGUUAGGGGAUCGAAGACGAUCAGAUACCGUCGUAGUCUUAACCGUAAACUAUGCCGACUAGGGAUCGGGCGAUGUUAUUCUUUUGACUCGCUCGGCACCUUACGAGAAAUCAAAGUCUUUGGG